rnacentral:tRNA from 1 species
AUGGCUUUAAGUUAGGGAAACUUUCAACCUUCAAAGUUGAAUACGCAAUUGAUUUGCAAGCCUUA